CAAUAGCGUAUAUUAAAGUUGUUGCAGUUAAAAAGCUCGUAGUUGGAUUUCUGGUGGGAGCGAUCGGUCUGGCGCUUAGCGCGAGUACUUGCAUCGUCUCCGGCCAUCCUUGGGGAGAGUCUGUCUGGCAUUAGGUUGUCGGGCAGAGGAUCCUCAUCGUUUACUGUGAAAAAAUUAGAGUGUUCAAAGCAGGCUUAUGCCGUUGAAUAUAUUAGCAUGGAAUAAUAAGAUAGGACUCUGGUACUAUUUUGUUGGUUUGCGCACCAAAGUAAUGAUUAAUAGGGACAGUUGGGGGUAUUCGUAUUCCGUUGUCAGAGGUGAAAUUCUUGGAUUUACGGAAGACGAACUACUGCGAAAGCAUUUACCAAGGAUGUUUUCAUUAA
rnacentral:rRNA from 1 species